AACGAACGCUGGCGGCAUGCCUAACACAUGCAAGUCGAACGAGACCUUCGGGUCUUUUGGCGCACGGGUGCGCAACGCGUGGGAACCUGCCCUUAGGUUCGGAAUAACUCCCCGAAAGGGGUGCUAAUACCGGAUAAUGUCUUCGGACCAAAGAUUUAUCGCCUUUGGAUGUGCCCGCGUUGGAUUAGCUAGUUGGUAGGGUAAAAGCAUACCAAGGCGACGAUUCAUAGCUGGUUUGAGAGGAUGAUCAGCCACACUGGGACUGAGACGCGGCCCAGACUCCUACGGGAGGGAGCAGUGGGGAAUAUUGGAAAAUGGGCGAAAGCCUGAUCCAGCAAUGCCGCGUGAGUUAUGAAGGCCUUAGGGUUGUAAAGCUCUUUUACCCGGGAUGAUAAUGACAGUACCGGGAGAAUAAGCCCCGGCUAACUACGUG
rnacentral:rRNA from 1 species